CACGUAGGGCGCAAGCGUUGUCCGGAAUUAUUGGCGUAAAGAGCUCGUAGGUGGUCUGUUGCGUCCGCUGUGAAAACUCGGGGCUUAACCCCGAGCCUGCAGUGGAUACGGGCAGACUAGAGGUAGGUAGGGGAGAAUGGAAUUCCUGGUGUAGCGGUGAAAUGCGCAGAUAUCAGGAGGAACACCGGUGGCGAAGGCGGUUCUCUGGGCCGUAACUGACGCUGAG
rnacentral:rRNA from 1 species